GUCUGCUCCUCUUCCUCUCUCUCUGUGUGUGUGCGUGUGAACCCUGACGAUCAAAAUUACAUUUUGAUUUGCAUUCUAUAGUUCCCCGAAACCCUAUCAGAUGGCUACGUCACUAAUCAACAAAACCCUCAAUUCAAUCAAAACCCCUAAUUUCCUCACUCCACUCUCAUCAUCCCUCACUCGCCACUUUACCUCCGUCGCCACCGCCCAACAACACUCGCAGUCCGAUGGCCCAUCUUCCUCCUUCACCUUCACCGACAACACUAACGCCUCCGGUGAUAGCAUAUUAGUCAAGGCACCCAAUUCGAAUGGGAAACGUGAUUCGGCGUCGUCGUCUUCAGUAACAAUGCCAAUGGCGUUUAUGACUGGAUCGAUUGUGGGCAAGAGGUUUUACAAGCAAGUGACUACGAGAGAGGCGGAUGAUGGGAAUGGAUGGACGGUGAUGCUUGAUUAUAGGACGCUUAAGACUCCUUCUAAAAGGCCACUGAAAUUGCCCUCUUUAGCCCUCGCUAAGGCCAUUGCUGCUGAAUGGGAGUAUCAGCAAACAGAUGGGAUCAGGCCUUUUACAAUGCCUCUCAUGAAACUUGCGUGUACUGCACUGGAGAGAGUUCCACUCACGCGACCAAAAAUUAUAGAACACUUGAUGAAGAAAUUUAAUCAAGAUUUAGUUUUCUGUCGUGCCCCAGAGGAUAAUGCUCUCACCAGUGGUGUCUAUGAGCUACAAGUGGAGAAAAUUGAUCCCUUGCUUGAUUGGGUGAAAUCCGAAUUUGGCUUUAAGCCUGUUGUGUACUCGAGUUUUUUUGGUGGCCAGCAGGAGGAGGGUCUGGUGAAGGCAUUAGAAGAUCUUUUGAAGAAAACGGACAACUGUGAAUUGGCAUCAAUUGAUGCAAUUGCAUCAGCAGCCCAUUCCUUGGUAAUUGCUAUUGGAAUCUUUCGUGGAAAAUUGAAUAUUGAGGAAGCCAUUGAGUUGAUCAGACUUGAAGAAGAUUUGCAGGUUGACAAGUGGGGCUUAGUUGAAGGUGGUCAUGAUGUAGAUAUCGCUGAUCUGAGGGUACAGAUAUCAUCUGCAACUGUGUUCCUUGGUCUUUCGAGGAUUUGAGCUCUGUGUGUGGCAUUUUGCUCAUAAUGUUCAACCUAAAUUCUAGCUUUAAUGCUUGUUUGUUUUUUAAGAUGUAGAUCGUAGAAUAUAUGUAAUGCCUGAGGUUUUGUCAGAAUUGUAGUUAAUUGCUAAGAUAAAGUAUCAUAAAAGACAA
rnacentral:misc_RNA from 1 species